rnacentral:rRNA from 1 species
CCCUUAGAUGUUCUGGGCCGCACGCGCGCUACACUGACGAAUGCAACGAGCUUAUAACCUUGGCCGAAAGGUCUGGGUAAUCUCCAAAUUUCGUCGUGAUGGGGAUAGAUUAUUGCAAUUAUUAAUCUUCAACGAGGAAUGCCUAGUAAGCGCAAGUCAUCAGCUUGCGUUGAUUACGUCCCUGCCCUUUGUACACACCGCCCGUCGCUCCUACCGAUUGAAAGGUCCGGUGAAGCGUUCGGACCGUGGCCUUUGGACGGUUCGCCGUCUGUUGGCUGCGGGAAGUUCGUUAAACCUUAUCAUUUAGAGGAAGGAGAAGUCGUAACA